GGCCGAUGACGAACACCCGCACCGAGCACGUCUAGGCAGCGUGCGAUGAGGAGCCCUAUGAGUGCCGAGGCC
rnacentral:snoRNA from 1 species